rnacentral:tRNA from 3 species
GCGCCUGUAGCUCAGCUGGAUAGAGCGUCAGCUUCCGGAGCUGAAGGCCACAGGUUCGAAUCCUGUCAGGCGCACCA